GCCUACGGGAGGCAGCAGUGGGGAAUUUUGGACAAUGGGCGCAAGCCUGAUCCAGCUAUUCCGCGUGUGGGAUGAAGGCUCUCGGGUUGUAAACCACUUUUGUAGAGAACGAAAAGACACCUUCGAAUAAAGGGUGUUGCUGACGGUACUCUAAGAAUAAGCACCGGCUAACUACGUGCCAGCAGCCGCGGUAAUACGGAGGAUGCGAGCGUUAUCCGGAUUUAUUGGGUUUAAAGGGUGCGUAGGCGGGCUGUUAAGUCAGCGGUCAAAUGUCGGGGCUCAACCCCGGCCUGCCGUUGAAACUG
rnacentral:rRNA from 1 species